GGCAGCUGGAGGCUUAGCGUGCAGGGACCCUGGCACCAGCACCUGACUCCACGGCCUUGUGCCGGGAUACGGAUCCUCCAGACCCAGCUCAGUGGCUUGGGUUCCCAUGCAUUCACAGUGAAUCUCAACCUUCAGGAGUGAACCCAACACACACAUGAACAGCACUGGUUUCAGCCUGCUCCUGCCCCAGCUGUGACCGAGACCCACCAGGAAAUGACAGUGGCCAUCAGUGUAAUGCAUGAGGCAUUUGGUGCUUCUUACAUGGUAUAAGUAGCUGAAUUCAGAACAAUGGCACGUUAAAUACCAGAUUUGUAAUUUUGGAGGAGGUCAAAAGUGAAUCACUAGAUGACUCAUACAUGGAUAGUGAAGAUGAUCCACUAUGGUAAAAUACUUGCUUUCAUAACAAAGAGUGGAGUGGGUGGAUGAUGAUGACUUUGACACUGGCCACGUGAGCUAAAUUCCUGUGGAACUAAAGUGGAACAAGAUUGGACUGACAAAGACACAGGAAAUGCAGACCUCCAAGAUACAAAUGAUGAAGAAAACAGCAAUUUGGUUACAUAUUAGACUAGUGGAAAGGUUGCAAAAUGACCAUACAACCAAGUGGAAAAAUCCAGUGUUAGAAUGAGGUACAAAAAUAGAGUGAAGGUCUUGGCUGGGGUGAGACCUAUUGGACAGGGUGAAGCACUGGCAUUCAAUCUUGAAACCUGUAAUAGACAAAAUGCUACAAGAUGCUGUGAAAUACACAAAGGCUAAAUGCAGAUUAAACAUUUUGUGUGCACCAAUA